GGGCCCGUAGCUCAACGGCAGAGCGGCCGGCUCAUAACCGGUUGGUUCCAGGUUCGAAUCCUGGCGGGCCCA
rnacentral:tRNA from 1 species